UAGAUUAAAGUCCGUUGGUUGGGGCGGCUAGUUGUUAACUAGUUUUUUGUGGGUUCGAAGCCCACUAAUCUAG
rnacentral:tRNA from 1 species